rnacentral:rRNA from 1 species
GAUCCUGGCUCAGAUUGAACGCUGGCGGCAGGCCUAACACAUGCAAGUCGAACGGUAACAGGAAGAAGCUUGCUUCUUUGCUGACGAGUGGCGGACGGGUGAGUAAUGUCUGGGAAACUGCCUGAUGGAGGGGGGAUAACUACUGGAAACGGUAGCUAAUACCGCAUAACGUCGCAAGACCAAAGAGGGGGACCUUCGGGCCUCUUGCCAUCGGAUGUGCCCAGAUGGGAUUAGCUAGUAGGUGGGGUAACGGCUCACCUAGGCGACGAUCCCCUAAGCUGGUCUGAGAGGAUGACCAGCCACACUGGAACUGAGACACGGUCCAGACUCCUACGGGAGGCAGCAGUGGGGAAUAUUGCACAAUGGGCGCAAGCCUGAUGCAGCCAUGCCGCGUGUAUGAAGAAGGCCUUCGGGUUGUAAAGUACUUUCAGCGGGAGGAAGGAGUAAAGUUAAUACCUUUGCUCAUUGACGUUACCCGCAGAAGAAGCACCGGCUAACUCCGUG